GCGACCGUGGCGGAACUGGCAGACGCGCAGGACUUAGGAUCCUGUGGGGAUCUCCCCGUGAGGGUUCGACUCCCUCCGGUCGCA
rnacentral:tRNA from 1 species